rnacentral:rRNA from 1 species
GACGAACGCUGGCGGCGUGCCUAAUACAUGCAAGUCGAGCGGAUCUUUUCCUUCGGGGAAAGGUUAGCGGCGGACGGGUGAGUAACACGUAGGUAACCUGCCUGUAAGACUGGGAUAACAUUCGGAAACGAAUGCUAAUACCGGAUACGCGAUUUGGUCGCAUGAUCGAAUCGGGAAAGAUGGAGCAAUCUAUCACUUACAGAUGGACCUGCGGCGCAUUAGCUAGUUGGUGAGGUAACGGCUCACCAAGGCGACGAUGCGUAGCCGACCUGAGAGGGUGAUCGGCCACACUGGGACUGAGACACGGCCCAGACUCCUACGGGAGGCAGCAGUAGGGAAUCUUCCGCAAUGGACGAAAGUCUGACGGAGCAACGCCGCGUGAGUGAUGAAGGUUUUCGGAUCGUAAAGCUCUGUUGCCAGGGAAGAAUGGACCGGGGAGUAACUGCCCUGGUUAUGACGGUACCUGAGAAGAAAGCCCCGGCUAACUACGUGCCAGCCGCCGCCGUAAAAC